AAGCUUCUGGACUCAGACUGUAGAGGGGUGAGUGGGCUCUGGGCUGACCCAGCUGGACUUUGCUGUAAUUUUCUGUUCUCUGUGGCAACUAAGGCUGUUCUAUGCUGUGUCCAGACACCCAAUAACCCUCCUGCUGUUACAGCACUGGCUGUGAGUCGCUGCAGUCAGGAAGUUGGGGUGCAGUGCUCCCUUUAGGGGUGCAAGUCUCCCCAGGCGUCCAACUCUGAUGGACUCCCUGCAGGGAGCUCACAGCAUGACCCAGGGGUGCUGAAGGCUCCGAGGUUCAGCUCCAGGAGGCGGUGAAGCCAAGGGGCUGACCCCAGUGACAGUUUGCCUCUAAGGGGGCUGACACACGGACGGGCUCCUCCAAGGGGCUGUUCCAGAGCCAUGCGAGAGCACCGGGCCUGGGGAUCCGGGACAGGUGGAGCCAGAGGAUGGUUUCUGAAUGCGCCCAGUAGACAGUUGGCCGCUGAGUUAUUGCAUUUGCAAUAAGUGACUGGCAGCAGUAAAACAAGGGAAGUUAAAGGACACAGCGGGGAAAAGCCGUAUAACCCUCUCCCGAAGACAAACACUGCAAACCCGUGAAGGGAGAGAGGGUUCCGUGUGGAGAAGCACAACGAGGCACAGCUGAUUGGACGGCUGGAGGAGGACAACCGGUCCAAGAAGCAGGUUCCAGGCCAAGCCGGGCUUUGAGAGAGUCUGGCCGCAGCCGAGGCAACAGCCGGAGCGAGCAGCAGCUGGGCAUCCACCAGACCCAGCGCCCCGUCCAGCAGGGGUCUUCAUGACCUGGCUCCCCAUCGUGGAUUUGAAGCAGUGGGAGCUGGAGCUAAGAGCAAAGGAGCGGCAGCUGGAGCAACAGAGGCUAGCCGAACACAAGGAGAAGCAGCGAAAGCGUGAACCGGAGAUGGAGAAGCCGAGGGGCAAGAGGGCCCACCAAGGAGGCGUACAGCCAAGUGGACGGAGUGGAGACUGGGAACUAUGAACUGCUCAACAGAGCUUUGCUGCUGAAGUUUGAAUUGACUAUGGAGGCAUAUAGGAAGAGGUUUUGGCGUGUGCAGAAGACUGCGGGUGUGACCUCCAUGGAAGUCAUCACCCUGCUGGGAGAAUAUCUCCGCAAAUGGGGAUCCAGGGAGCCCUGCAUCUGUAACGGCCAAGGAUUUGAAUCCAGGGAGCCAGAAGGCAGAGAAGGCAAGUGCAUGUGAAGAUGUGAAUUGCUGGGCUGACAGGGAGGAGGGGAUUUUCCCCCGACUGGUAACACAAAGGAGGAGCUGCUACACUCUGGAUACCAGCCUGUCCGUAACCAGAGCCCGGUGUCUGAGUGGGACGGAGGGAUGGUCCCCACCCAUCCUCCCAUGGGAGAUGAGACUCAUGCUGGCUCUGAUGCUGCCUACCCUCCCUGGGGAAGCAAAGGCAGAGCUGAGCAUGGUGGGGGCCGAGACCCCAGCUGAGCACAGGGGGGCCCCAGGCAGGGCAGGACCAUGGCUAAACAUGCCCUGUCCAGGGGUGAGAGAGGCCCCAGGGAAUAGGGGAGCAGCUGGAAGGAUGCUGCUGGUAACACAGGGGCCUGGUCAGAGGCGGGGCAUGGCCAUGGUGAGAGCCCAAAUCACAGCCCUCCUGGAAGGGGGGCUGGGAGAGGACUCAGUCCUGGGAGUGAGGCCAACUGGUUAAGCCCACAAGGGGAGCUGGGCUCCUGGCAUAUGCACAGCCCUGGGGUUGGGAGAUGACUCCAGGGGGGCUGCAGGGGCACCCUGGCCUCACCAUCCCCUGGGGCACCAGAGCCCCAGAGAGAGGGCUGGGGUAAGCACCAAUGAUCAUGGUGUGACUCCCUGUGCCAACCAGGGGGAAGGACACCCCAGGCUGUGGCCAAGGCAGCUGAUCCAUGGGGGUAGGUGGGGUCCUGCCCCCCUCACUCCCUGGCAGACGAGGGGGAGGGGCAGUGACAGAACCCCAGCCCAGUUUCAAACCCAAAGGUUUUGGGGUGGCAAAAGGGCAUGAGGCCGCGUGAGAACUUCUGUACCCCUGCACGUGCUAGCGACCAGACCGGAGCUGAGGGAGGAUGUGGCUCUGCUCUGACUGGAUACUGGGAACUGUAAUUGGGAUGGACUAGCCAGGGUGCUAACGGACUCCCAGCCCACUCCCACCUGCCUCGUCCCCUCACACCCCACCCGCCUCAUCCCUGUCACCGGUUCGGUCACAGAGACCCCCUUGGGACUGUCACCCGACGUGCUGAAACUACCUCUGAGCCUGUUUUCCCUGCCAGCUUGGGACUCCAGAACCCUGCCUUGUUGAGCCAGA